rnacentral:rRNA from 1 species
AGCGAACGCUGGCGGCAGGCCUAACACAUGCAAGUCGAACGAACUCUUCGGAGUUAGUGGCGGACGGGUGAGUAACACGUGGGAACGUGCCUUUUGGUUCGGAAUCACUCAGGGAAACUUGUGCUAAUACCGAAUGUGCCCUUCGGGGAAAGAUUUAUCGGCAUUAGAGCGGCCCGCGUCUGAUUAGCUCGUUGGUGAGGUAACGGCUCACCAAGGCGACGAUCAGUAGCUGGUCUGAGAGGAGGACCAGCCACACUGGGACUGAGACACGGACCAGACUCCGACGGGAGGCAGCAGUGGGGAAUCUUGCGCAAUGGGCGAAAGCCUGACGAAGCCAUGCGGGGUGAAUGAUGAAGGGCUUAGGAUUGUAAAAUUCUUUCGGCGGGGACGAUAAUGACGGUACCGGGAGAAGAAGCCCCGGCUAACUUCGUG